rnacentral:tRNA from 1 species
GGGGGCGUAGCUCAGAUGGUAUAGCGCUCGCUUAGUAUGAGAGAGGUACGGAGAUCGAUACCCCGCGCCUCCA